rnacentral:rRNA from 1 species
GAGUUUGAUCGUGGCUCAGGACGAACGCUGGCGGCGUGCUUAACACAUGCAAGUCGAGCGGUGAUCCUCCUUCGGGAGGUGAUCAGCGGCGAACGGGGUGAGUAACACGUGGGCAACCUGCCCCUCACACUGGGAUAACCUCGGGAAACCGGGGCUAAUACCGGAUACGACCUCGAGCGGCAUCUCUUGAGGUGGAAAGCUCCGACGGUGAGGGAUGGGCCCGCGGCCUAUCAGCUUGUUGGUGGGGUAAUGGCCUACCAAGGCGACGACGGGUAGCCGGCCUGAGAGGGCGACCGGCCACACUGGGACUGAGACACGGCCCAGACUCCUACGGGAGGCAGCAGUGGGGAAUAUUGCGCAAUGGGCGAAAGCCUGACGCAGCGACGCCGCGUGAGGGAUGAAGGCCCUCGGGUUGUAAACCCCCUUUCAGGGGGGACGAAGGUAAGGCCGGUGAACAGCCGGUCGGACUGACGGUACCCCCAGAACGAAGACUCCGGCUAACUACGUGCCAGCAGCCGCCGCGGUAAG